rnacentral:rRNA from 1 species
GUGGGGAAUUUUGCGCAAUGGGGGAAACCCUGACGCAGCAACGCCGCGUGAGUGAUGAAGGCCUUCGGGUCGUAAAGCUCUGUCAGAGGGGAAGAAGUGUGGAGUGGCUAAUAUCCAUUUCACUUGACGGUACCUUCAAAGGAAGCACCGGCUAACUCCGUGCCAGCAGCCGCGGUAAUACGGAGGGUGCGAGCGUUGUUCGGAAUUAUUGGGCGUAAAGCGCGUGUAGGCGGUUUUUUAAGUCUGAUGUGAAAGCCCUGGGCUCAACCCGGGAAGUGCAUUGGAAACUGGGAGACUUGAAUACGGGAGAGGGCAGUGGAAUUCCUGGUGUAGGAGUGAAAUCCGUAGAUAUCAGGAGGAACACCGGUGGCGAAGGCGGCUGCCUGGACCGAUAUUGACGCUGAGACGCGAAAGCGUGGGGAGCAAACAGGAUUAGAAACCCCGGUAGUCC